rnacentral:lncRNA from 1 species
CUGUGAACUUAACACUAGAUCUAACUUAAUGAAGUAGAUCUAGUAUAUAUAGGAGUUUAGACUUCUGAAGUAUGCCUCUACUUACAAUACAGAAGCACUUACUUAUAGUCGGCAGAUCUUUAACAAUUUGGAGAAAUUUGAGACCUCCAUCGUUGUUUCCAGCAGUUACCUGUUGACAAUUUACAGAUACAUACAUAAACAGUAAGAAAACAUUGGCAUUGGUUCACUUUCUGGUAAUAAAUCACUAUAAAGUGAGAAUGGAAGGAGAACUGUAUAUAGCUGUUUUACUUUCAUCAUAUAAUAACUUGGGAAAAUCUGUUUCUCCAAAAACAUAAAUGUACUAUACUGGGUUGUUGUUGUACGAAGAUUGAUAACAUUUUUAAACAAGAGUGACAUAUAUUCAACAAAAGCAAGGACACAAGCAUUGUAAAUGAAGCAUUACAACAGAUGGAAUGUUCCAAACAUGAUUCAGUACAAUCAUAAAAACUUUGCUCAGAUCAAUUGGAGCAUCAUGACAAAUAUUGAAGAAAGCGUGCACAAGGCGAAUGCCCCAUGAGACUUAAGCACAUAUCCCGUGGCGGAGCCUGAAUUUUCACUAAGGGGUAUCAAAAUAUAUUGAAGCUACAACACUAAACUGAAAUUUUGUAUAGAGUGGUAAAUCACCGGUUGCUAAACCAGUAGAGGUAAUUGCUGGCUGUCUAUGAGAUCUUCAAAUAUACUACUACUAACAAAGAAAAGACAACAUAGUAAUAAACCAUGUGAAUAUACAAACGUGAC